rnacentral:rRNA from 1 species
UACAGAGGGGGCAAGCGUUGUUCGGAAUUACUGGGCGUAAAGGGCGCGUAGGCGGCCGCCUAAGUCAGACGUGAAAUCCCUCGGCUCAACCGGGGAACUGCGUCUGAUACUGGGUGGCUUGAAUCCGGGAGAGGGAUGCGGAAUUCCGAGGUGUAGCGGUGAAAUGCGUAGAUAUCUGGAGGAACACCGGUGGCGAAGGCGGCAUCCUGGACCGAGUAUUGACGCUGAGGAGCGAAAGCCAGGGGAGCAAACGGG